CCUACGGGAGGCAGCAGUGGGGAAUAUUGCACAAUGGGUGAAACCCUGAUGCAGCAACGCCGCGUGAGUGAAGAAGGGUCUCGGUGUGUAAAGCUCUAUCAGCAGGGACGAAAGUAACGGUGGCUGACGAAGAAGCCGCGGCUAACUACGUGCCAGCAGCCGCGGUAGUACGUAGGGGGCAAGCGUUAUCCGGAUUUACUGGGUGUAGAGGGGGAGUAGGCGGCGCUGCAAGACAGGAGUGAAAGCCCAUGGCGUAACCAGGGGAUUGCUUGUGGAACUGUGGAGCUAGAGUGCAGGAGGGGAAGGCGGAAUUCCUAGUGUAGCGGUGAAAUGCGUAGAUAUUAGGAGGAACACCAGUGGCGAAGGCGGCUUUCUGGACUGUAACUGACGUUGAGGCCCGAAAGCGUGGGGAGCAAACAGGAUUAGAUACCCGAGUAGUC
rnacentral:rRNA from 1 species